UGGGGAAUAUUGCACAAUGGAGGGAACUCUGAUGCAGCGACGCCGCGUGAGUGAUGAAGGAAUUCGUUUCGUAAAACUCUGUUCUAUGGGAAGAAAAGGACUGUACCAUAGGAGAAAGCUCCGGCUAAAUACGUGCCAGCAGCCGCGGUAAUACGUAUGGAGCGAGCGUUGUCCGGAAUUAUUGGGCGUAAAGGGUGCGCAGGCGGCUUUACAAGUUGGAUGUGAAAUAUUGUGGCUCAACCACAAACGUGCAUCCAAAACUGCAAAGCUUGAGUUAAGGAGAGGUAAGUGGAAUUCCUGGUGUAGCGGUGGAAUGCGUAGAGAUCAGGAGGAAUACCGGUGGCGAAGGCGACUUACUGGACUUAAACUGACGCUCAGGCACGAAAGCGUGGGGAGCAAACAGG
rnacentral:rRNA from 1 species